AGUUAAUUACUUAAGAUAGUUUUAUGUUUUGAAAGCAUAUAUUAGAGGUUAAAUUCCUCUAUUAACUU
rnacentral:tRNA from 1 species